rnacentral:rRNA from 1 species
AUUGAACGCUGGCGGCAGGCCUAACACAUGCAAGUCGAACGAGUGGCGGACGGGUGAGUAAUGUCUGGGAAACUGCGUGAUGGAGGGGGAUAACUACUGGAAACGGUCGCUAAUACCGCAUACCAUCGGAUGUGCCCAGAUGGGAUUGGCUAGUAUGUGGGGUAAUGGCUCACCUAGGCGACGAUCCCUCGCUGGUCUGAUAGGAUGACCAGCCACACUGGAACUGAGACACGGUCCAGACCCCUACGUGAGGCAGCAGUGGGGAAUAUUGCACAAUGGGCGCAAGCCUGAUGCAGCCAUGCCGCGUGGAUGAAGAAGGACUUCGGGUUGUAAAGUACUUUCAGCGGGGAGGCGUUACCCGCAGAAGAAGCACCGGCUAACGCCGUGCCAGCAGUCGCGGUAAUUC